UUUGUAUUGACCUCUGCGUACAAACUGAAAAAUGGAGGUUGCCCUCUAACACAACAUGGAUCAUCAAAGCAGAGGAGGGUCAUGGAACUUGGUGCCAAGCGCCUCUCAAACCCUAAUUCAAGAUGAACAACAACGCUUUCAUUCCUUGCCUUCUCAGUUCCACCUUUUACCUAUUAUUGAAAACUUAGCUGAUGCGAUAGAAGGUGGUACACGUGAUCAACACUCUGAUGCUCUGGUUAGUGAGCUGAGUACCCAGUUCGAUAAGUGCCAGCAACUUCUAAACUCCAUAUCAGCAUCUGUAAAUGUUAAAGCCAUGACAGUAGAAGGCCAAAAGCGUAAAUUAGAGGAGUAUGAGAGGCAACUAAACCAGCGAAGAGAACUUAUCGCUGAGUAUAGACGCUCUGUUGAAGAGUUCACCAAGUCAGAUUGCAACAGAUAGUAUAUAAUUGGGAAGUUGAGAUAAUCUAUCUGCACUUCAAUGCAAAGCAAGUGGGUACGUUUUUGUUGUUAUUCCACCAGAUAGAUCAUGAAGAAGUGAAUUGCAUGGGCAUGACGUCAUGGUCCGAGCUUCGUACAUUGACACUUGUUCUGCAGCGUUGGGGGUUUGCAUCCUUCUAUGGAGGUUCUGCUGUCUGCAUUUCUAUGAUAAAUAAUCUCAAAUUUUGGGGUGCAAGCUCAACCCGGCAAUCAGGGGGAAAAAAAAAUGUGUCUGAAAAGAAAAAAAUAAUCUCUUUGAGAUUGAAUCUGUAUUGUCGAAUUCUGGAUGACCAUAUUCGAGUGUUUAGGAUUUUAUUUUAUUUUUUCUUUUGCAAUAGAUUUGAGUGUUUUAGAAUGUUUUUUCUUUUGCAAAUACUCAUCUUGGAAUUCUAAAGUGGAUCUCAAAAUUUUAGAUCCCAUAAAACUCAUAAGCAGGCCUUUUGCUUUUUGCUUAAGGGAGUUCUGAAAGUCGAGUUUUUUUCCAAAUUGUAAUACUUUGACUUAUUUUAAAACAAAGGUAUUAGUGAUUCAAUGUGUCUACUUUUAACACAGACAUUUCAUGAUUCAA